GCGGGUAUAGUUCAAUGGCAGAACACCAGUUUGUGGCACUGGUUAUGAGGGUUCGAUUCCCUCUACUCGCC
rnacentral:tRNA from 1 species